rnacentral:rRNA from 1 species
AUUGAACGCUGGCGGCAGGCCUAACACAUGCAAGUCGAACGAGUGGCGGACGGGUGAGUAAUGUCUGGGAAACUGCCCGAUGGAGGGGGAUAACUACUGGAAACGGUAGCUAAUACCGCAUACCAUCGGAUGUGCCCAGAUGGGGUUAGCUAGUAGGUGGGUUAAUGGCUCACCUAGGCGACGGUCCCUAGCUGGGCUGAGAGGAGGACCAGCCACGCUGGAACUGUGACACGGUCCCGACUCCUACGGUAGGCAGCAGUGGGGAAUAUUGCACAAUGGGCGCAAGCCUGAUGCAGCCAUGCCGCGUGUAUGAAGAAGGCCUUCGGGUUGUAAAGUACUUUCAGCGGGGAGGCGUUACCCGCAGAAGAAGCACCGGCUAACUCCGUGCCAGCAGCCGCGGUAAUAC